CCUCAAGUGACUUGCCACAAGGUGAAAAGAUUGCUCUUCAAAUUUGUUACUCGAAUGCAAACUCAAAUUUAGUUAUAUCAGAGAGAUUCUAGUUACUCGGGGCUGGAAAGUCCAUCGCUGAAAUAAAGAAAACCUUCAAGGUGCGGUCUGCAGGGUCAAGUAUCCCCCCCCCAAGAAGAUGUCGUCUAUGGACACAACCUCCUCCAGAGACGUCUCUGUGAGCAAUGCCAGUGACAUUGAAUCGGAAUGGAUAGAGGUGGAUGAGCCUGGUGUAUACAUCACCAUCAGACAGCUUCUUGAUGGCACUAGAGAGCUUCGCCAUGUCAGAUUCAGCCGUGAAAAAUUUGGAGAUGUGCAUGCCAAGCAUUGGUGGGAAACUAACAGGGACAGGAUACAAACUCAGUAUCUUUGCUAGAACCAAGAUAUAGACCGUGGAUCCUUGGUCAUGCGUGCUAUUGUUGCUGCCACUACACUUUCAGAUCUUCAAGGUGAUCAACGAUGAUGAUGAUGAUGUUCGAAGAAGAUUGAUAUGGUCUAGGAUUUGGUGAUAUACAACAAUGCAUUGCUUGGCCGUAUUCCAAUAGAAUGGGAUGAAGAACUAAUUAGGUCGUAUUCGAAUUUGUCUACAAUUGGAGACGCAAUCGGAACAUGCAUUGCUUGGCCUCGCCACUUGGUGAAAGCUAAUGACGAUUUGGAUUGAUGAGAAGAUGAAUAGCUUUAAAAGUGGAGCCUAGAGGUCCCAUUCUAAAACAGUUGGUACCAAAGAGAACCUAUUCCAAAACAGUUGAUAUAAUAUUCACUAUGUAAUAAACUUCUUUACUCAUGAUUGAGUUCUAUACCAAAA